rnacentral:rRNA from 1 species
UUGGUGUACCUGCGGAGGGAUCAUUACUGAGUUACCGCUCUAUAACCCUUUGUGAACGUACCUAACCGUUGCUUCGGCGGGCAGGGGAAGCCUCUCGCGGGCCUCCCCUCCCGGCGCCGGCCCCCACCACGGGGACGGGGCGCCCGCCGGAGGAAACCAAACUCUAUUUACACGACGUCUCUUCUGAGUGGCACAAGCAAAUAAUUAAAACUUUUAACAACGGAUCUCUUGGUUCUGGCAUCGAUGAAGAACGCAGCGAAAUGCGAUAAGUAAUGUGAAUUGCAGAAUUCAGUGAAUCAUCGAAUCUUUGAACGCACAUUGCGCUCGCCAGCAUUCUGGCGAGCAUGCCUGUUCGAGCGUCAUUUCAACCCUCAAGCACCGCUUGGUUUUGGGGCCCCACGGCCGACGUGGGCCCUUAAAGGUAGUGGCGGACCCUCCCGGAGCCUCCUUUGCGUAGUAACUAACGUCUCGCACUGGGAUCCGGAGGGACUCUUGCCGUUAAACCCCCAAAUUCUUUACAGGUUGACCUCGGAUCAGGUAGGAAUACCAGCUGAACUUAAGCAUAUCAAUAAGCGAG